rnacentral:rRNA from 1 species
UACGUAGGGUGCGAGCGUUGUCCGGAAUUACUGGGCGUAAAGAGCUCGUAGGUGGUUUGUCGCGUUGUUCGUGAAAACUCACAGCUUAACUGUGGGCGUGCGGGCGAUACGGGCAGACUGGAGUACUGUAGGGGAGACUGGAAUUCCUGGUGUAGCGGUGGAAUGCGCAGAUAUCAGGAGGAACACCGGUGGCGAAGGCGGGUCUCUGGGCAGUAACUGACGCUGAGGAGCGAAAGCGUGGGGAGCGAACAGGA